UACGUAGGGGGCAAGCGUUGUCCGGAAUCAUUGGGCGUAAAGAGCGUGUAGGCGGCCCGGUAAGUCCGCUGUGAAAGUCGAGGGCUCAACCCUCGAAUGCCGGCGGAUACUGUCGGGCUAGAGUCCGGAAGAGGCGAGUGGAAUUCCUGGUGUAGCGGUGAAAUGCGCAGAUAUCAGGAGGAACACCGAUGGCGAAGGCAGCUCGCUGGGACGGUACUGGCGCUGAGACGCGAAAGCGUGGGGAGCAAACAGG
rnacentral:misc_RNA from 1 species